rnacentral:pre_miRNA from 1 species
CCUCAUCCAACCAAUGUGGAUGAGCAACGCGAACAAAUCCUCUUAUAAGAGAUUUGCCACGCCGCCGCUCACCACACUGGCUUUCAGAAGGUGCCAGGAAUCAGAAGACGAG